CUCCACACAUUUCCCGCACAAAACAAUGUCAUUCCCAACUUUCUUCCAUCCAUCUUCUUCCUCUCCUCUCAUCUCCGCCGGUUCAAUUCCGAUCAGAACUCCGUUCGGUGCUCCGAUUUUCAUGAACCCUCACCUCUAGACUCCGAAACCUCUCAAACUCAUUGCGCUUUGUAAUUCAUCUACCUACAAUGGCUUCCAAGGACCCUGAAGAGACCGCCAACACGGCCACUGAGGAGGAAAGUUUGGCCUUCAAGAAGAAACGGGCACGACGCGUGAGCUUUGCUGAUUGCGAGAUCACUUCAGUGCAUAUCUUUAACCGCGACGAGGACUACGAGACGCCUCCUGAGCCCCAAACCACUCCCGAGGCUGCUCUUCCGGACAACGAGGUCCUAGGGUUCUUCAGGGACUUGGCUGAUAGCGACGAUUCCCGUGAAUCUUCACCUAAUUUGGAUGAUGAUGUUCUUGGGCAGCGGAAAUCAUUUCUGAGACCGCUUGGAUCGCCGUCACCAGGGAGUAUAUCUGCCGGCUCUGCAACUUCCAAUGAUGAAGAUAAUUUUUUCGGGCCUGUAUCAGCGAGUUUCAUUAGACCCAUGCGGUUGUCUGAUUCUGCUGCCUCUGAUGAUAAUCAUGAUGUUACAAUGGAUUCAACAGCAUUUUCAAUGCAUUUUCGUAGCCUUGCUGAAUCAGACUCGGGGAGGGAUCUCAAAACUCCUACGGCAAUUCGGUCUGGAUUUGAAGAUAGAACGCCGACCCAGAAUACCGUGCGUACUAACCCUGACAGUUUUAUGACAUUAACGAUGGCUGACAAAAUGAUUUCUCCAUCUUCACAAUCUGGUGAUGUGGUAAGAAGUAAAGAUUCUAAUGCAAUGAGUAUCGUGGGAGAGAACUCAGAGAAAUAUGAAUAUGGGAGAUUAUCUCCUUCUUUAGAUGCACUUUUGACCGAAGGAAGUAGGGAUCUCUAUGCUGUUUCAGUGGAUGAAAUAUUGUCCGAACAGAUUGAAACUCGUGAAGUUGAUCAGACUGGACAAGGCAACUAUGAUGAUGAGAUUUCUGAGAAAACUGAAAUGGUAGAUGGAAGCAAUAAAUACUCCAAACAUGGAGGUGAGGAAGGUAAUAGCGGCACACCCCAUAAAGCUUUUCAAUCCAAUGGUUUGUUACAAAGAAAUUUCUCAGAUGGGUGGGAUAAGGAAGAUGUUCUCAUGGACAAGAGGCAUGAGACACCAAGAAGCAUUGACUAUAAUCUCAAAGAUAUAUCUCCGCUAAAGAGACUCUUAUCUGCUGAGCAGAAAAUAUCUUCGGCUACUUUCAAUUCCCCUUCAUUUUCUGCUCUUGUGACUCCUCACUCGAAGCUGUCAAAUUAUAAAUUGAGUACAGGGAGCAUGAAGUUCGGCAAGAUUCUAUUGUCCAAGCAGAUAAGUAUUUCCAAGUUCAGACUUCCUGAAUCUUCUCCACAUGUUUCAAGUAAUGGAGAAGGAACGGACAGAUUGAAUUCCAGACCAUCCAGAUACUCUUCUCUAGUUAACUUGAGUGGUCAAGGUGAUCAGAGCAAGGAUCUUGAACACAACAAAUACAUAGACAUUCCUGUUGUGUGUUUAGAAGAACAACUUACUAGAUCGAAUGGAAACAACAAUGAAUUUAAAAGUUCAUUUAGCACUUCUGGUAGUGGAGUCAAGACUACAAAAGAUUUUCCUAAGCUGAGCCAAAGUGAAGAGCCAAAAGGUUUAGCUGAGGCUGGAGAAACACCAGACCAUAUGGAUGUGGCUAAUUUUCCCAACGUGCAACCCAUUGAGCCGGCUACAGAAGCCAAGUCACCUGUUCAAGCUACCUGGACUGAGAACAAAGAUCUUAUGCCACAUAUCUUGAUGUCAGAAGAUCCUUUAUCGAGGUCAUCUACUAGUUCUGAAAUUGAUGAUCUGACGAACAUUAGACCUGAUGGCAGAGAACAAAAUAAUUCAACUAAUAUGUAUGAUACAAUUGUUUCAUCUCCUUCCAAAAGUUUAGACGUGAGGUUAUCAGGAGCCACUGAAUGUUCGACUAGUUGCUUUGGUGAACUGAAUCAGUGUAACCAACAAGACAAGCUUGUUCGUGCUUGUCUGACUCAAGGUGGAGCUGCACCUACUAGCAAUACCAGACCCAGUCCUUUGAAUUUGAUUGCUGACAACUCGGGAUCAUUGCAGUCCAAAAUUGGAACUGUAUCAACUUCACCACUUCUGAAAGGUAUGUCCUUGGUAGAUGGGGAUGAUAAUGGAGUUGACCUUUCGAAUCUGCACAAUAAUUCGGAAACCUUCAGCAAUUUACAACAUUCUUUGAGAAAUGGGAACAUCGUAAGUUCUCAUUUGGAAAGUCCUGCUAAGACUUCCAAGCUUGGUGCCUUUUCACCACAGUUUCAGAAGGCCUGGACAAGUGGACUAUCCAUUAUGCAGAGUCCCUUCACUGUAAUACCGAACUACAGUCCCAGAAGGAUAAUUUCAACCCAGACAUCAUCAGGCAAGAAAGAGUCUGUGGUUGCCAUCUCUAAUAAGUCGUCUCCGAGUUCCUUCAACAAUGAACAGUCUCAGAGUUCUACAAGGAAAAGGCCAUUUCAAAGUCCCUUUAGGAAUAAUCCUUUUAAUGAAACAAAAGAUGAUGGGAUGUUUAUGAGAAAAGUUAUGGCUUCUCCAACAUCCAACUUGAGGGGACAUAUUAAUCAGGAUAAUGAUCAAGAAAGCUGUGUAUCGGUGAGUUCUUCAAGGAAGGGCAAUCACAGCCAUUCUGGGAGCAAGAGAAGAAACAUUGGCCCAAUGCCUCUUGUUGGGGAUCGUGAUGACAAUGACAUAAUAGUAAGGAUUCGGCAAAACCUAAAACUUAAUCAUAAUGGAAGUUGUGAUGUAGACUCUUUGGUAGAAGAGUUCAAUCAAAUGAGCGAUGGAAACAAGAGGAUCGAGGACAAUAGAAAUCGAGCACUUAUGCAUUGGACAGAUAUGUCAAUAAAAUUUUUAGCAGAGAUAAAAGAUUUGCUACCCCCAUCAAUCAACAAACUGAACUCAAAAGCAAUAGAGAAGCUUGAAGAUACUUUGGUUCACCUUUUGAAGGUUAAAAAAUAUGAAUUGCUGUGUUCUGAAAUCCAAUCUCAGAAAGUAACCGAAGAUAUUGGAGGAAUGCAUAAAAGAGUAGUGGAAGCCAGGCUGUUGUUGUAUAAAGUAGCAUAUCAGAAGGCAAAGCUUCAGUUGGAGUUUGUAAAGCGUGAUUUGUAUCUGAAUAGAGCACAAUCAUUGAGCUCUCGUAUUGAAAAUUUGCAAAUGUUGAAGUUGAAUUAUGAUCGCCUAACGGAUUGUGGUUCAAAGAGCAGUCAUGUUGAUGAUGGAAAUGGACUUUCGUGCCCAAUUGAUUCCGAGGCAUCUUGUGAAAGAGCUAACACAAUAAAGCAUGAAUUUGUAACUUUGGAUGGAAAGAUAAAGGCACUAAGCAAAUAUUUUUCAACAUACUGUAAGUUGAAAGGAAUGACCAGUUCAACUGACAUUCUUGGAUCAGUUAUUGAUCAUCUAAGAAAGAGAAAGCUCUGCAGGUCCAUUUAUCAGGAUUUGCAGAUGUGGAAAGUAGAUGAUUUUGAGAAAAAAAAUGAUCACUACACCAUACUUCUCAACUACCUUGGUUAUUGCUGCCAAAGGAUUACAAUUAAAGCAAAUCCAUUCCCAAGUGUAACCGUCUUUAAUACAUUGAAUGAUUCCCAUAUUGCGAAGAAGUUUCCAGAAAUGAAUGCUGGCAGUGCAUUUUCUUUUGUGUUAAAUGUUGAGAGGACGAGGAGGUGUAAUGCCUCCAGGCACUUCUCCAAAGAAACUCAAAUGAUGAGUUCUCUUCUACACAACCUGCUAGAUGUGAUUGAGGAAAUGCAGAUUGCCCAGAUAGAGAUUUCAAAUCUCAUCCUAAUAAGAUUUAACUCACCUUCAGACGAGCAGCUUGAUUUGCAACUUAGCUUCAUUAACUUCCAAAGUGGCUGGAAGGUAAAUCUGGUUCUGGACAUAUCGGAUUUGAGUCGAGGGAUUUACCCUUCUGAAGUUCUUCCACAUAAGGUUGAAUCUCCUGCUUCAACUCAGUACGCACUCUCAGAGUCAAUGUUAAAUGGCAUUAGAACUGCAGUUGGGGAUUUAGAUCCCGGGUACUCGAGGAUUUUAAGAGUUUGUAGAUGUGUUUCGGAGGCUGUCCAAGUCUCAUCUAGUCGACAAUAGCAUUUUCUCAAUUUUCUGCAUGCUAGCUGGCAGUUCCAACAUGAUUGUAAAAUCUAGUCUUAUUAGCGGUCAGGGUCUCAUCUAAAAGUUGAAGGCCACCUACGGAUGUUGGAAUAAUGAACUGCAGGAGGAUCAAGUUAAAGGCUUAAAGCUACCAGUGCACGGACUUCAUCAAACAUCAUCAUUCAAAAUUAGGGGGGGAUCUGCUUGGAUCAGCAUCUUUCUUUUAAUAUUAUAGUGUUUAUCAUGCCAUGAAUUAAAGGAGGCCAGCAAGGAGUGGUCCAGUAUGUAUUGUAACUUCACGUGGCAUUAUGAGGGUGCAAGUGAUAAUUAUUGGGAGGGAAAAUGGAGAAGAGGCAGGACUAGUGUGUUGCUCACUUCAUGUGUGGGAUUGGAUGCUAUGCCAUUUGUCAAUUUUAGAGAAAAAUGACAUAUAUUCCUCUGCAUUUCUAUUUUACUUGUACAAUAUUAUACGAAAGACAGGUUUAAAGGAAAAGAACCAUGAGUUCUAAUUUGGCUC